CAGUAGCCACGGUAAUACAGAGGGUGCGAGCGUUAAUCGGAUUUACUGGGCGUAAAGCGUGCGUAGGCGGCUUUUUAAGUCGGAUGUGAAAUCCCUGAGCUUAACUUAGGAAUUGCAUUUGAUACUGGGAAGCUAGAGUAUGGGAGAGGAUGGUAGAAUUCCAGGUGUAGCGGUGAAAUGCGUAGAGAUCUGGAGGAAUACCGAUGGCGAAGGCAGCCAUCUGGCCUAAUACUGACGCUGAGGUACGAAAGCAUGGGGAGCAAACAGGAUUAGAUACCCCAGUAGUCCCUGUCUCUUAUAU
rnacentral:rRNA from 1 species